GACGAACGCUGGCGGCGUGCCUAAUACAUGCAAGUCGAGCGAAGUUUUUCUGGUGCUUGCACUAGAAACACUUAGCGGCGAACGGGUGAGUAACACGUAAAGAACCUGCCUCAUAGACUGGGACAACUAUUGGAAACGAUAGCUAAUACCGGAUAACAGCAUUAACUGCAUGGUUGAUGUUUAAAAGUUGGUUUUGCUAACACUAUGAGAUGGCUUUGCGGUGCAUUAGCUAGUUGGUGGGGUAAAGGCCUACCAAGGCGACGAUGCAUAGCCGACCUGAGAGGGUGAUCGGCCACACUGGGACUGAGACACGGCCCAGACUCCUACGGGAGGCAGCAGUAGGGAAUCUUCCGCAAAGGGCGAAAGCCUGACGGAGCAACGCCGCGUGAGUGAAGAAGGAUUUCGGUUCGUAAAGCUCUGUUGUUAGGGAAGAAUGAUUGUGUAGUAACUAUACACAGUAGAGACGGUACCUAACCAGAAAGCCACGGCUAACUACGUG
rnacentral:rRNA from 1 species